rnacentral:rRNA from 1 species
GACGAACGCUGGCGGCGUGCUUAACACAUGCAAGUCGAACGGAAAGGCCCUGCUUUUGUGGGGUGCUCGAGUGGCGAACGGGUGAGUAACACGUGAGUAACCUGCCCUUGACUUUGGGAUAACUUCAGGAAACUGGGGCUAAUACCGGAUAGGAGCUCCUGCUGCAUGGUGGGGGUUGGAAAGUUUCGGCGGUUGGGGAUGGACUCGCGGCUUAUCAGCUUGUUGGUGGGGUAGUGGCUUACCAAGGCUUUGACGGGUAGCCGGCCUGAGAGGGUGACCGGCCACAUUGGGACUGAGAUACGGCCCAGACUCCUACGGGAGGCAGAAGGGGGGAAUAUUGCACAAUGGGCGGAAGCCUGAUGCAGCAACGCCGCGUGCGGGAUGACGGCCUUCGGGUUGUAAACCGCUGUCGCCUGUGACGAAGCGUGAGUGACGGUAAUGGGUAAAGAAGCACCGGCUAACUACGUG